UGACGCAGACCCGAAACCAAGUGACCUACCCAUGACCAGGUUGAAGGCGCGGUAAAACGCGCUGGAGGACCGAACCCACGUAAGUUGAAAAUUGCGGGGAUGAGUUGUGGGUAGCGGUGAAAUUCCAAACGAACUUGGAGAUAGCUGGUUCUCUCCGAAAUAGCUUUAGGGCUAGCCUCGCAAAGAGGAUGCUGGAGGUAGAGCUCUGUUUGGACUAGGGGCCCGUCAAGGGUUACUGAAUUCAGAUAAACUGCGAAUUCCAGAC
rnacentral:rRNA from 1 species